rnacentral:rRNA from 1 species
CCUACGGGCGGCAGCAGUGAGGAAUAUUGGUCAAUGGGCGCGAGCCUGAACCAGCCAAGUAGCGUGAAGGAUGACUGCCCUACGGGUUGUAAACUUCUUUUAUAAAGGAAUAAAGUGAGGCUAGUGUGCCUUUUUGUUUGUACUUUAUGAGUACGGACCGGCUAACUCCGUGCCAGCAGCCGCGGUGAUACGGGGGAUACGAGGGUUAACCGGAUUUUUUGGGUUGAAAGGGAGAGUAGGUGGGUUGUUAAGUCUGUUGUGAAAGUUUGCGGCUCAACCGGAAAAUUGCAAUUGAUACUGGCGGUCUUGAGUGCAGUUGAGGUAGGCGGAAUUCGUGGUGUAGCGGUGAAAUGCUUAGAUAUCACGAAGAACACCGGUUGCGAAGGCAGCUUACUAAGCUGCCACUGACAUUGAGGCUCGAAAGUGUGGGUAUCAAACAGGAUUAGAUACCCGUGUAGUC